rnacentral:rRNA from 1 species
AACGAACGCUGGCGGCAUGCCUAACACAUGCAAGUCGAACGAGAUCUUCGGGUCUAGUGGCGCACGGGUGCGUAACGCGUGGGAAUCUGCCCUUUGGUUCGGAAUAACAGUUGGAAACGACUGCUAAUACCGGAUGGUGACGAAAGUCCAAAGAUUUAUCACCAGAGGAUGAGCCCGCGUAGGAUUAGCUAGUUGGUGUGGUAAAGGCGCACCAAGGCGACGAUCCUUAGCUGGUCUGAGAGGAUGAUCAGCCACACUGGGACUGAGACACGGCCCAGACUCAUACGGGAGGCAGCAGUGGGGAAUAUUGGACAAUCGGCGAAAGCCUGAUCCAGCAAUGCCGCGUGAGUGAUGAAGGCCUUAGGGUUGUAAAGCUCUUUUACCCGGGAUGAUAAUGACAGUACCGGGAGAAUAAGCUCCGGCUAACUCCGUGCCAGCCGCCGCGGUAA